GUGGGGUAUGGCCCACCANGNCUUCGACGGGUAGCUCGGCCUGANAGGGUGACCGGCCACACUGGGACUGAGACACGGCCCAGACUCCUACGGGAGGCAGCAGUGGGGAAUAUUGGACAAUGGGCGAAAGCCUGAUCCAGCAACGCCGCGUGAGGGAUGACGGCCUUCGGGUUGUAAACCUCUUUCAUCCAUGACGAAGGCAAGUGACGGUAGUGGAAGAAGAAGCACCGGCCAACUACGUGCCAGCAGCCGCGGUAAUACGUAGGGUGCGAGCGUUGUCCGGAAUUAUUGGGCGUAAAGGGCUCUUAGGCGGUCUGUUGCGUCGGGAGUGAAAACUCAGGGCUUAACCCUGAGCCUGCUUCCGAUACGGGCAGACUAGAGGUAUGCAGGGGAGAACGGAAUUCCUGGUGUAGCGGUGAAAUGCGCAGAUAUCAGGAGGAACACCGGUGGCGAAGGCGGUUCUCUGGGCAUUACCUGACGCUGAGGAGCGAAAGUGUGGGGAGCGAACAGGAUUAGAUACCCUGGUAGUCCACACCGUAAACGUUGGCGCUAGGUGUGGGACUCAUU
rnacentral:rRNA from 1 species